rnacentral:lncRNA from 1 species
AUGUACUUGAGGGAUGCUGUAGAAAAGGCUUGGAGGAUCCAUGCUGCUGACUGUGAGGAUUCUAAAGUGUGGCCUCUUAUUUUUCAGCAUCCUCUAUGCAAACGCCCAAGGGAAGGGCUUAGCUUAAAUGUGGGUGCUGAGACAAAGUUUCUUCUCUUCCAGGGCUGGAUCCCAAACAGCACAGCAGGUGGACGCUGGGGACAAGACAUGGCAGAGGAGCAAGGCAGUUUCACCUUUACUACUAAUGAUCAUUGCUGUGAGGCAUUUAAAUUGCCUUCAUCACAGUGAAACCUCUCGGUGUUAGAGAAGGAUUUCUAAUGAAUUCUACAGAUCUGGAACCUGGAAGAUUUGGUGGAUACUUAAUUCUCAGCUUCCUUUCUACUUAGCAUUCUUUUUUUUUUUUCAUUUAAUUGUCAAUACUUUAAAUGCUCUCCACAUCAGAGUUUU